AGUGAACGCUGGUGGUAGGCCUAACACAUGCAAGUCGAACGAGUGGCGGACGGGUGAGGUAUACAUCGGAAUCUCCUCUGUCGUGGGGGAUAUCGUAGGGAAACUUACGCUAAUACCGCAUACGAUUGAAUGAGCCGAUGUCGGAUUAGCUAGUUGGCGGGGUAAAGGCCCACCAAGGCGACGAUCCGUCGCUGGUCUGAGAGGAUGAUCAGCCACACUGGGACUGAGACACGGUCCAGACUCCUACGGGAGGCAGCAGUGGGGAAUAUUGGACAAUGGGCGCAAGCCUGAUCCAGCCAUACCGCGUGUGUGAAGAAGGCCUUCGGGUUGUAAAGCCCUUUUGUUGGGAAAGCGGUACCCAAAGAAGAAGCACCGGCUAACUUCGUGCCAGCAGCCGCGGUAAUUC
rnacentral:rRNA from 1 species